UUCGGGUUGUAAACCUCUUUCACCACAGACGAAGCGCAAGUGACGGUAUGUGCAUAACAAGCACCGGCCAACUACGUGCCAGCAGCCGCGGUAAUACGUAGGGUGCGAGCGUUGUCCGGAAUUACUGGGCGUAAAGAGCUCGUAGGUGGUUUGUCGCGUUGUUCGUGAAAACUCACAGCUCAACUGUGGGCGUGCGGGCGAUACGGGCAGACUGGAGUACUGCAGGGGAGACUGGAAUUCCUGGUGUAGCGGUGGAAUGCGCAGAUAUCAAGAGGAACACCGGUGGCGAAGGCGGUUCUCUGGGCAGUACCUGACGCUGAGGAGCGAAAGCGUGGGGAGCGAACAGGAUUAGAUACCCUGGUAGUCCACGCCGUAAACGGUGGGUACUAGGUGUGGGUUUCCUUCCUUGGGAUCCGUGCCGUAGCUAACGCAUUAAGUACCCCGCCUGGGGAGUACGGCCGCAAGGCUAAAACUCAAAGAAAUUGACGGGGGCCCGCACAAGCGGCGGAGCAUGUGGAUUAAUUCGAUGCAACGCGAAGAACCUUACCUGGGUUUGACAUGCACAGGACGCCAGCAGAUAUCUCCGUUCCCUC
rnacentral:rRNA from 1 species